AAGAGCCGUGUGUGGGAAAACUGCAAGCACGGUUCUGUGAGGGGCGUUAAGAUGCUUUCUAUGGUUGAAUAUUGUGACACUCUCCAUAUCGAAAGAGGAGAGAAACAGGGAAUACAAAACAUACCUAAAGGAGGUAUUUGAAAAUGUCUACUCGAC
rnacentral:ncRNA from 1 species